GAUGAACGCUGGCGGCGUGCCUAAUACAUGCAAGUCGAGCGAACGGACGAGAAGCUUGCUUCUCUGAUGUUAGCGGCGGACGGGUGAGUAACACGUGGAUAACCUACCUAUAAGACUGAGAUAACUUCGGGAAACCGGCGCUAAUACCGGAUGAUAUUUUGAACCGCAUGGUUCAAAAGUGAAAGACGGUCUUGCUGUCACUUAUAGAUGGAUCCGCGCUGCAUUAGCUAGUUGGUAAGGUAACGGCUUACCAAGGCAACGAUGCAUAGCCGACCUGAGAGGGUGAUAGGCCACACUGGAAGUGAGACACGGACCAGACUCCUACGGGAAGCAGCAGUAGGGAAUCUUCCGCAAUGGGCGAAAGCCUGACGGAGCAACGCCGCGUGAGUGAUGGAGGUCUUCGGAUCGUAAAACUCUGUUAUUAGGGAAGAACAUAUGUGUAAGUAACUGUACACAUCUUGACGGUACCUAAUAAGAAAGCCACGGCUAACUACGUG
rnacentral:rRNA from 1 species